rnacentral:rRNA from 1 species
AAACUCAAAGGAAUUGACGGGGGCCCGCACAAGCGGCCGAGCAUGUGGCUUAAUUCGACGCAACGCGAAGAACCUUACCAAGGCUUGACAUAUUCCGGAAAGCAUUAGAGAUAGUGCCCCCCUUGUGGUCGGUAUACAGGUGGUGCAUGGCUGUCGUCAGCUCGUGUCGUGAGAUGUUGGGUUAAGUCCCGCAACGAGCGCAACCCUUGUCCUGUGUUGCCAGCAUGUCCUUCGGGGUGAUGGGGACUCACAGGAGACCGCCGGGGUCAACUCGGAGGAAGGUGGGGACGACGUCAAGUCAUCAUGCCCCUUAUGUC